ACAGAGGUGGCAAGCGUUGUUCGGAAUUACUGGGCGUAAAGGGCGCGUAGGCGGCUCUCUAAGUCCCGUGUGAAAGCCCUCGGCUUAACCGAGGAACUGCACGAGAAACUGGAGAGCUUGAGUUCGGGAGAGGGAAGCGGAAUUCCGGGUGUAGCGGUGAAAUGCGUAGAUAUCCGGAGGAACACCGGUGGCGAAGGCGGCUUCCUGGACCGACACUGACGCUGAGGCGCGAAAGCUAGGGGAGCAAACGGGA
rnacentral:rRNA from 1 species